GGGAUUGCUCGUUAACCGAAGUUAAGAAUCUUAUGGAAGGUAACUCGUUAACCGAAGGAUCACUGUACUCGUAUUUCAUAAUUUGGGCUUUGCCUUCAUUCUAGAAAGUGUUUUUUUUUGUGCGUGUAUUGUUGUGUGUUUCCACUGCCUUAAAAAAAAAGCAUUUUGGAAUAAAAGGUCCAUUGUUGUACAAAACUGAAAAAUACAGGUAUACAGUGCAGGUCAACAGUCAAGAAAUUCAACCAAGGAUAGCCGACUGAGCCAUCAGGAGCUUAUUACCUGUAAGGUCCUUUGAUUAGGCUGGGAAACUAACCAGUAGGAGGUAAUAUUAGAAGAGAUGGCUAACACCAGAAGGAGUUGUUUGAUUUUGUUCUUUUUUCCACAGAUGUUAUUAUCAUUAUAGUACAGUAAGUAUUUUAAAAGAGGCGACAUUUACUAGAACCUAAGAGAACCUUACCUAACCAACCAAAGAAACCUAUUUAACCCUACCUAACUUCCUAGCCAAUGGCCUGUGUCCUCUGGACUCCCCACCAUGUUAAACAGAAAGUACUUAUUUUGAGAUCUGGUACCAAUGAAAGCAACUUUGUUGAAGCAUCAUGGUUAAGUAAGGUUAGGUCGAUUUUCUAGAAAAAAGUGGCUCAUUCGCACAAGAAAUGAAAGUCAUAUUUGACUAAAACACACCAAAAUACACUAGAAAAACAAUUUCUCAGAUAAAAAAAGGGAAUGGGCAAAAAACGAAUAAUUGCCUUCUAUUUUAUUUCCCUUGAAUACAGUCCACAUUCACCCCUGAGCCUUGUAUGUUACGCAGGCAUUUUUUCUUUUACUGUAA